AACGCACGAGACCUGCGGACCUGCGGAGGGAUCAUUAAAGAGUUGCAAGACUCCCAAACCAUUGUGAACGUUACCCACACCGUUGCUUCGGCGGGCGGCCCGGGCCCCUGCCCGGCGCCCCCCGGCCCCUCGCGGGCGCCCGCCGGAGGUAAACCAAACUCUUGAAUUGUAUGGCCUCUCUGAGUCUUCUGUACUGAAUAAGUCAAAACUUUUAACAACGGAUCUCUAGAUCGGAAGAGC
rnacentral:misc_RNA from 1 species